CACAUGGCCUUCCCGUGUGAAUUUCAAGAAGUGUUAAAUUGAAGGAAUGUGUCACAUGGGAAGCACAAGCCCGUGUGGGCUUCCCGUGUGAGUUGCAAAAAAUGGCAGUUUAUUCAAGGCACAACACGACAAUAGGACAUGCCCGUAUGAUCUUCCCGUGUGAUCCAAUGGAUUGUUUCAAGAGUAAUUUUGAGGUAAAGACGUAACACGACUAUGUGGUGUCCAUGUGGCUC
rnacentral:lncRNA from 1 species